UGUACCUACGGGAGGCAGCAGUAGGGAAUAUUGCUCAAUGGGGGAAACCCUGAAGCAGCAACGCCGCGUGGAGGAUGAAGGUUUUCGGAUUGUAAACUCCUUUUGUUAGAGAAGAUAAUGACGGUAUCUAACGAAUAAGCACCGGCCAACUCCGUGCCAGCAGCCGCGGUAAUACGGAGGGUGCAAGCGUUACUCGGAAUCACUGGGCGUAAAGAGCGCGUAGGCGGGAUAGCAAGUACGAUGUGAAAUCCUAUUGUUUAACCAUAGAACUGCAUUUGAAACUGUUAUUCUAGAGUAU
rnacentral:rRNA from 1 species